CUUUUACAAUGAAGAGUUUGAUCCUGGCUCAGGAUGAACGCUAGCUACAGGCUUAACACAUGCAAGUCG
rnacentral:rRNA from 3 species